UACAGAGGUCCCAAGCGUUGUUCGGAUUCACUGGGCGUAAAGGGUGCGUAGGCGGUCGGGUAAGUCUGACGUGAAAUCUUCAAGCUCAACUUGGAAACUGCGUCCGAUACUAUUCGGCUAGAGGAAUGGAGGGGAGACUGGAAUACUUGGUGUAGCAGUGAAAUGCGUAGAUAUCAAGUGGAACACCAGUGGCGAAGGCGAGUCUCCGGACAUUUCCUGACGCUGAGGCACGAAAGCCAGGGGAGCAAACGGG
rnacentral:rRNA from 1 species